rnacentral:tRNA from 2 species
GUCCCCUUCGUCUAGAGGCCCAUGACACCGCCCUUUCACGGCGGUAACAGGGGUUCGAAUCCCCUAGGGGACGCCA